rnacentral:rRNA from 1 species
UACGAGGGGUGCAAGCGUUGCUCGGAAUUAUUGGGCGUAAAGGGCAGGUAGGUGGUCUUAUUUGUCUUGUGUGAAAUCCUUGGGCUUAACUCAAGAAGUGCGCAAGAAACGGUAAGACUAGAGUCCCAGAGAGGCUUGUGGAAUUCCCGGUGUAGCGGUGAAAUGCGUAGAUAUCAGGAGGAACACCGGUGGUGUAAACGGCUUUCUGGACCAUAACUGACGCUGAGGCACGAAAGCGUGGGUAGCAAACAGG